GAAGCGGAGCCGGCCCCGCCCCGCGAGCGGCCAUCUUGGAGGCUGAGGCGGCGGAGGCGCAGCGGCGGGUUCGGUGGGCCCAGUCCCGGCGCGGUGCGGCUGUUUCGGGCGCGGGCCCCGCUCUUCCGCACCCUGCUCCGGCCUCGACCACGGCGAGCCUGAGCGCGGCGGCGGCCCACGCGCGGCGACAGGGAGAGAUGAGCAGCACCAGCACUAAGAGGGCUCCAACCACAGCGACCCAGAGGCUGAAGCAGGACUACCUUCGCAUCAAGAAAGACCCAGUGCCUUACAUCUGCGCUGAGCCCCUCCCUUCGAAUAUUCUCGAGUGGCACUAUGUGGUCAGAGGCCCAGAGAUGACCCCUUAUGAAGGUAAGGAUUCUGUCCUCAGGUGGCAGGUUUUAUGUUCUGAAACGGCCUUGCCUGUUAAACAUCUUUUAUUUGCAAACAACAGCCUUUCUACCUUGGAUGGAUGUGCCUUAGUUACAUAGGCUUAGCUGGAACUCACCCCCAGCUGAUUCUCUGAGCCCUGGAAGUGUUUGCUGCGCGUGUUGUUGGCUGAUGUCUGUCAGUCUGCAGUGGAGGCUUGUAGUGUCAGUGUUCACCAGCCUCCAACACCAUAGGGUUAGAGCCGAGAAACCAGACCAGGGUAAACACUGAAGCUGGCCUGUUUGCUGUUUCUUAAGACCUGGUGAAUAUCAUCAAAAGGAAAGAAAGGCAUGUUAUUCAGUGUGUCUCUGUGCUGGGCACUCUCAGGGUCUUGUAAUCCUCAGAACAGUCUCUGAGCUAAGCGGAAGUCUCCCUGUGUGUUGUGGCUUCUGGGGCUUCGGGAGCUGUAGGACCUGCCCAGCACCUCAGUCCCUCGUGGGCUGCCAAGGCUGACCCAGGUCGAUAGCCGCUACCUAGAGUCCCGGGUGUUGUUACAGAGCAGACACUGGAGUGGUCAGCAAGUUUCUGGGGCCUUGAGGGGUACUGGCACCAGCCUCAGGGUCUGGGCCAGGUUAGGAGUCGGCGUGCCCAUGGACGCCGUCCACCGGCAAGUGCAAGGCAGAGCAGGGCCAGGUCGGCAGCUGCUUGGCUCUCUAGCCGCAGGGCCCUGGCUUCAGAGGGCUGGAGCAGCAGCUCUGUCUGCCUCUGUGGGGCUGUGGGUGAGAUUUCAUGAGAGAAGGGUGCUGCUGCUAGAGGUUUGCUAACCCCUGCUUUGGACUGUUGGGAGGGUGGUGGGUGGGUAAGAACGAAAAGGGUCAGGCUCUCCUGAAGGCGCUUUGGCUGAGUUAUCACAGCCUUACCCAAACAGUCUCCUUUGACCCAGGAGUCCUGGUUCCGGGAUAAUCUGUACCCAGCGUGCAGGAGCACAUCUAGGGUGGGCACGCAAUCACGGCGCCACUGACGAGGACCAGCACUGGGGACGCCGCAGGCCGAGGCGAGGUGCGGCCUGGGAGCAGGCGUGUUCAAGUGCUGCUGACAUAUGUCCGGGUGCCUUCAGCUGGUGUGAAGGACGUAACCACAGAACGAGCAGUGGUCUUUGACAAACAAAAUUACGCCAGCUCAAACAUGUUUUUUUGUUUUGU